ACUGUGGAUAUGCUGUGUGAUGGCUCCUUUCUCAGCUUGCUUUUGUGCUUUAUCACUUGAAAACACUUUUGAACAAUACUCUAUAUUAGGUCAGUACUGUUGUUCUGAGAUAGCUUAGUGGAGGGUAGAUGUUUGUGUUGCACACUGGCCAGAUAUAGCAGCUCUGUUUGUUAACUGUUGGCCAUAUUAGGAGUAGGCCUCAAACACACACUCCAAGCCUGAAGCUUCAAGAGUUUCAUGUCUUCUGGACCACCCAGACUCAGUCAAGUCAAGUUUCACCGAGGAGCAGAACGCCACCGCUUCACUUCGACAAGCUAAGAGGUGGAGUUGAAUUCCUUUGAGGCGAUCACGGAGGGGAAUUCAGGAAAGGAAAGGAACAAAGAUGUAAUCCCUGAAACACGCGAGUGCUUGACAUAAACAAACACGCUGGGAGGAUUUCAAAGGGACUGCUGCUUGCUGGGAAUCCUCUCAUGUGCCGAUGAGAGAUAAGGCAGCAAAAUGCAAUGCAGAGAGCUCUCAUACUACACCCAUAUCGAUGCCAGGCCAGGAAUGCAACCAUGUAACGGGGGAAUUUCCCCACACUUUACUGACAAGAUGCAUGGUGAUCGGCCGUGAGGGAGAUGACUGCAGCUCGGUGAAGUUCUGGUCCCUGGUGUUGUUUUGGAGUUGUCUGAAAGGCAAAGUCCACAGUAUUUAUACAGUGCAGCAUGCAGGCAAGUGAUGAGUGAGUCAGUGAAGCUGUUGGACAGUUCAUGGAAGGAAAACUUUG